rnacentral:rRNA from 1 species
UACGUAGGGUGCGAGCGUUGUCCGGAAUUACUGGGCGUAAAGAGCUCGUAGGGGGUUUGUCGCGUUGUUCGUGAAAACUCACAGCUCAACUGUGGGCGUGCGGGCGAUACGGGCAGACUAGAGUACUGCAGGGGAGACUGGAAUUCCUGGUGUAGCGGUGGAAUGCGCAGAUAUCAGGAGGAACACCGGUGGCGAAGGCGGGUCUCUGGGCAGUAACUGACGCUGAGGAGCGAAAGCGUGGGGAGCGAACAGG